rnacentral:rRNA from 1 species
GAUGAACGCUGGCGGCGUGCCUAAUACAUGCAAGUCGAGCGAACGGACGAGAAGCUUGCUUCUCUGAUGUUAGCGGCGGACGGGUGAGUAACACGUGGAUAACCUACCUAUAAGACUGGGAUAACUUCGGGAAACCGGAGCUAAUACCGGAUAAUAUUUUGAACCGCAUGGUUCAAAAGUGAAAGACGGUCUUGCUGUCACUUAUAGAUGGAUCCGCGCUGCAUUAGCUAGUUGGUAAGGUAACGGCUUACCAAGGCAACGAUGCAUAGCCGACCUGAGAGGGUGAUCGGCCACACUGGAACUGAGACACGGUCCAGACUCCUACGGGAGGCAACAGUAGGGGAUCUUCCGCAAUGGGCGAAAGCCUGACGGAGCAACGCCGCGUGAGUGAUGAAGGUCUUCGGAUCGUAAAACUCUGUUAUUAGGGAAGAACAUAUGUGUAAGUAACUGUGCACAUCUUGACGGUACCUAAUCAGAAAGCCACGGCUAACUACGUG